UACACUCCUGCGGGAGGCAGCAGUGGGGAAUAUUGCACAAUGGGCGCAAGCCUGAUGCAGCCAUGCCGCGUGUAUGAAGAAGGCCUUCGGGUUGUAAAGUACUUUCAGCGGGGAGGAAGGCGAUAAGGUUAAUAACCUUGUCGAUUGACGUUACCCGCAGAAGAAGCACCGGCUAACUCCGUGCCAGCAGCCGCGGUAAUACGGAGGGUGCAAGCGUUAAUCGGAAUUACUGGGCGUAAAGCGCACGCAGGCGGUCUGUCAAGUCGGAUGUGAAAUCCCCGGGCUCAACCUGGGAACUGCAUUCGAAACUGGCAGGCUAGAGUCUUGUAGAGGGGGGUAGAAUUCCAGGUGUAGCGGUGAAAUGCGUAGAGAUCUGGAGGAAUACCGGUGGCGAAGGCGGCCCCCUGGACAAAGACUGACGCUCAGGUGCGAAAGCGUGGGGAGCAAACAGGAUUAGAAACCCUAGUAGUCC
rnacentral:rRNA from 1 species